CAGCCCUUUCCCUUUGAAGAUACAAGAAAAGUACAAAGGCUACCAAAUCUAAACUAGCAGUGAAAAUCUAAUACGCGUGUUACUGGCAGAACGCACUCAUACAAUUCUAAACUAACGCUACUUGAAAACACAUUCAUAUGAUUCCAAAAGUCCGAUGAUCUAAUUAGCUACCAAUCAAUACUAAACUAAGGUGCUGGCAGAGCAUUCAUGCAAUUAUAAAAGGUCUAGCGGUCUAAUUAAUUACAAAUUAAUAUGUCGUCAGAUAAACAAAACUACUUCAUCCUUUCAACUAGACACAGAACAGGAAAUCUGCUACAUCCAUUUUACAUUGAGCCUUCACAAGUUGUAUGAGACCAAGUGAGUACCUGUAGUUCACAAUAAAAACCAAAAUAUGGGGUGAAUGAAUGGCUAGAAGUAAUAGCAGGAAGGAACAGCAACAUCAAUUUCAACUUUGAAUCCCAAAAAGAAAGACCAGUAAGCAGACCAAAAUCAACUCGAACAGGAAAAAUUCAGUUUGAAAUUAACUCAGAAGCUUUUUAUAGCCCUAAAUCCCUAAAAACUAGAAGAUGUUCAGGCUUUGGACUUUUGGCAAGCUAAAAUCCCACUGGAAAUUUAUGUGCUGUGUUUUUUGGUUUUGCAGAACUAGACCUAGAAUGAAAACCUUUCCUCAGAUUUUAAUUUUCAUAUUGAAAACCCAUUUUUGUGUAUUUUUCUGGACUUUUUGCCUCUAAGAAAAACUUGUGUGUGUUCUCAGAUUUUCAGCCUAAAAACCUCCUGCCUUGAAAGGCAGGUUUGCAAUGCCUUUAUAGGCAAGCAAAUAGGGCUGCCCUCAGAUUUCUAUUUUACCCCUUAGUCCCUCUUUUAUUUUUCAGUUUUUAACUAUUUAGUCCCCUAUUUAAUGCCUUGUUGGCCAAGUCUUAACACUAUUAACCUGAAAUUCACUAAGACCCUCUACUAUAAGCUUCUAAAUCAAUUUGUUAUGAAAGAUUCCUUGAAAUGAAUUCCUAAACUACUCUUUAUUUAGUCUGAAAUUUACCAACCUAUGUCAACUAACCCAGCCCCUCUUAAACUCAGUGAAAUAACAAUGGUUAACCAAACAAAUGGGCUGGAAAUCUUCAGCUUUAUAUCAUAAUUUGAACUAGAAUUUAUCCUAAUCAAUGUCAUUAUAGACUACUACUAUGAAUCAGAUAGAAUUUAAGAACCAAUAUUGAUAAAAUUCCAAAACAAAUAAUUAUCAAUCAGGCACAACCAAAUUAAAAAAACAGGUUUGCGCUGCCAAUUAUCAGAAAAUUAGAACUCAAAAUGAAUAAAAGCGAACAACUAUGAGGAGACAAAAACAAAAUCAAUUACUGACUCCAAACGGAUUGGUAAGCAAAAAUAAAAAUCAAAACCUAAAUCGAAUAAUCAUGAAGAGGAAUCAAACAUGGAGGGGGGAACUAUUUCAAAUAACAAAACCAAGAGAAAAAUUCAUAGAACUCACUGAUUUUGAGCUUUCAACUCGACUGGAUUCGAAUCGAGUCUUGAGAUAAUGUUAUGUGUUUGUUCUUGACAAGAACAAACACAUAGCAUAACUUCAAAACCCUUUCGAACACCGGCUAAACUUGGAAACCCGAACAGUCUUUGAACGAAAACCUUAGAUCUAAAAUUAGAAAGGUUAGACCUAGAUUUGAAUGGUUUUGGCUUGGGAUUUGGGAAAAGGGGGUCGAGGAGGGUUUAUGGUGUAAUUUUGGCUGGAUUUGGGUGAUUCACGGUUUAGCCGCCUCUUUUGACUCAAGAUUCAAGUGAUUUGGCUAGGAUUUGAAAGGAAAGGAGUGCAGAUAUGGAACGGGGAGGUAAAGAGAUAGCUAUGGUGUAAAUUUCAGGGAAUUUCGAGACUCGUUGCCGGCGGAGGCGAUUUCCGGUCGUCGGCAGACAUCGGAGGGGCGGCAAUUGAACAAGUACG
rnacentral:lncRNA from 1 species